CAAUAGCGUAUAUUAAAGUUGUUGCAGUUAAAAAGCUCGUAGUUGGAUUUCUGGUCGGAAGCUCCUGUCCUCUGAUGAGCGUACAAGUGCGUCCUACCAUCCUUCUGUUAACCUUUAAGGCUUUCGCGGCUUUCUAGGGGCUCAGAUAUUUUACCUUGAGAAAAUUAGAGUGUUUCAGGCAGGCUAGCGCCGGAAUGCAUUAGCAUGGAAUAAUGGAAUAGGACUUUUGCCUCUUCUGUUGGUCAUGAGGCUCGAGUAAUGAUUAAUAGGGAUAGUUGGGGGCAUUAGUACUUAACUGUCAGAGGUGAAAUUCUCGGAUUUGUUAAAGACUAACUUAUGCGAAAGCAUUUGCCAAGGAUGUUUUCAUUAA
rnacentral:rRNA from 1 species